UUUAAAUGUUUCAUAAGCAGAACAAUAAAAUGACAUUUUACAGUAUAACCAAAUUAGGUGAUAUGCACAUAUUAUGCACGUCAUGUAUCAAAACAAACUUUUCUUUUUUGUCAGCAGGUUGAAAAUGCCACUCCUUCAGCUGUUCACAUAACUGACACAGAAGAAGCCACUGUUGCAGCAGGAGAUAUUGCAGAAGAGCUGACAAUUACACCAAUGCCAUUCAUUCAAAUAAUACCAAUUUUUAAUAUUAAAGAGAUUCUCAUGGCCUCCCAUGAGGGGAGAUGGAUUUCAGCAGCUUUAGAGAAGGAAAAAAGCAUCACAAUUAAACAGAGACGUGCACUGGUGCGAAUCCUGGUGGCCUUUUUAAUUGAAAAGUUUGGCGAAAUGCCAACUUCUGACACCAAGAAGGCUAUGGCAAUGGCGUUAAUUGAAGAGUUUCCCUGCCUUAAAGACAUCAGAGGCAAUGGCUAUGAGGCAUUUUACACACCAGGCCGGAACCACCGUCCAGCCACAGGCUUCAUUGAGGAGCGCUUACGAAACAUCAGAAAGAGAAUGAGAAAACUUUCCAGACCUCAAAGACAUGAAGAGGACACAUCACAUAGGAUGGUAAUCCCUGAACCUACUAUUCCAACGGAGAGAGCCCAAAGUCUUGUGAACUGGCUGAAAAAUAACCAUGCACCUAUUAACCAAGUGGUAGAAAAUAUGAAGGAGACAGCCUUAUAUCGGGCUAAGUGGAUCCGACAGAAUGGGACAAAGAGCAUCACAGAGGUUCUCCAUGAGUUCCCGCAUCUCUUGAACACACCUGGCAUGAUUUCCCAAGACUUUGAUCAGGUCCAUGGAGAAACUGGACUGAAGCUUUUUGAAUCGUGGGCCAAUUUCUUUGCUGACAGAAUUCUAAGGAUUGCGAUUAAGGAAGAAAAACUGAAUAAGACUUGGGAGAACAUUCCACAAGAGAAUCGAGGUGAUGUUGCUCUUUUGGUCCUUCCCCUACUUCUUCCUCCCACGGUAUACAGAAUUGGUCAGAAGGUCUUUCGACCAUCCAUUGACGAAGCUAGGAAGGCCUUCAUUGAUCUUCAACCAGUUGGAACAAAUAUGGUUGAAUUCAUUAACCGGCCAGAGUCCACAAAACACCAUCCCUUUGUCAUGGCUAUGGGAAAUGGCCAGCAAAUCUCCCAGGCAUUUGUGAUAAUCAAUGGACAGGCUCUGGAGCAGAGCACACUGCUCGCAGCUGUAGAUCUUUGUUUCAAAGCUUUCUAUGUCUUUGACAUGAACUACCCCAAGCAGUGCGCAUCGACCUGGGAGUUCAUGCAGCAUGUCGUCUUCCAAAUAGAGGGCAAUGAAACAUCUGCAGUUCGUUUUCUUCGCACAUCCUUAUUCGCUGAAGAGUAACUUUAAACACUGUAAUUCAGUCUACCUACAAGUCUAUAAUUUAUACUCCAUUUUCCCUCCUUUCUCUCACGCUAUUUUUAUUCUCUGGACACUUUCUGGUAACUCGUAACCUCAAGGUCAUUGACGCUGCAAGUUAAGCAUUUAAAAAUAGUCCCAUACCAAAUUCUAAUCAAAUUUUUAAGUGGUUAUAUGUAUGACUUUCUGUCUGUCUUUCUUUAAAAAACUGUAAUUGUUAUUUAUAUACUAUUUAUGUACUUGAUAUAAAUUUUAGGACAUCUUUAAAUUAUUUAGCAUUCUCUGUCAUAUAAAAUUUUAAUGGUCAAUGUCAUUUCACUAUCUUAUUAAAUAGUUAAACGUAAAAAUGUAAUAAACAGUUUUUGCAUUUGCUGAAAAUAAAAAUGAAACAUUUUUUGUGCAGUUUGUCACUGGUACAAAUUUAAACAUUUAUUUGUUGGUUGGCAUUAAAAAUAAAAUUGGAAAAGUGUAAACCUGUUUUUUUUUUCUUUUCAUUAUUUAUUUAAUCUAUGAUUGUCUGGUUAAAUGUAGGCAAAAUUAUGAGAAUAACCCAGCAAGAAUAACCCAGAAUAGCAAACAUAAAUGGUAAAAAUGACUAUAUCUUGGGUUUUCUCAACAACCCAGCCUGCUGGGUUAAAGUGUGUAACCCAGCAUGCUGGGUUACGUUAACCCAGCAUGUGUUCUGUCCAAUAUUUACCCAGCGCUGGGUUGCCAAUUGGGUUAUUUUUAACCCAGCCAUUUUUAGAGUGUUUCAUCUCUAUGUUUCAUGAAACAAAAUAAAAAUAAAAAAUAAAAAGGGCCAUUUUGUGUCUACCCCAUGUGCUUUCUUUGUUUGAAAGACCGAGAACAGUCAUGUCGUGGAUUUACAUACAUUAAUGUAUUUAAGUCUAAUUAACGCAUCGCUUGCACACGUUACGCCAUCUGUUGGAUGUAAAUUCUUGUUUUGGUUUUGUGUUGUGGCAUGUCUGUGUGUGGCAGCUUUUCUAUUUUAAACAUUUCUGCACAGUAAUUCCUAUGUAGGAAUGAUAAAAUAAAACAUAUUAUUUCAAAGUUAAGAUGCAUGACAUAAAUAAUUCUAAAUAAAGUCAGUGAAGUAGUCUAUAAGUGAUAUAGUUUAUGUAAAACAUAUAUAUCUCCUACAGGGGGCGCCAAAGUUCUUAUAAAGCCUGACAUUAGAUCAACUGUACGAGACACAUGGUUUAUUUUUUCCCCAUUAAAGAACUGAUUAUAGAUUGACUUUUUGGAAACCAUUUAAUAUGAAAUAAAGCAUUAAAUAAAAAAUACAAAUACAAUAAGCAGGUUAGAUGCAUAUAUUCAAAACGCCAAAAUGUUAGUUUUCUACCUGAGGAAUGACUCUUAUCAUAUGAAACAGGCUAGCUGACUCUUGUUUUCAGUCCACAGGUAUCAGCCUGUAUGAUCAGGAAGACCUCAGACAGCUGUGUGUUAAGGUUACAGACUCAUUGAACCCAUUCCUGUCUAUCAGCCUGUCGAGCUUUGAAAAAGCCAGGGACCUUUUCCCAGGAACCCCGAGAGGGAAAGGAAUAAGAAGGCGAAAAAAGUAAACACAAAACAACUUUCAAGUCACCACAUCCGUCAGUGAAAGGAAAGCUUUAUUUUUAGCAUUAGCAGCGGGGUGAUUUCUGGCGCUCAGUACGUGAAAUGGCAGAGACCCUGCUGCAGGGCCGUGCACAGACCUUUUGAGGGGCAUGUGCUGAAACUGAAAAAGGGCACCCCCCUCCCUUUUUUUAUAUCAAGAUUAUUUAGUAAGCCUGCAUAAAAGAAAGAAAUGGUCACAUCUUCAUGACAAAUUCAAUAACACAACUCAAUUCCAGAUUAUAAGAAACUAUAGCCAUACCGUUACUAUAACAUAUCCAACAUGUAUCCGCCUACCUGGCAAAAAUUUGAUACUGUGGUGGACCAGGGAUGUUGGUCUCUUGAAGGUUUCUUAUUCACUACACUUUCCCUAAAAUAAGCCAGCAAUGAAAAAAUAAAUAAAAAUAGUGUGAAAAGUACAGUUGCAGUGAAAAGCAUUUCUGAAGGAUCACGUGACACUGAAGAGUACUGAACUGGAGUAAUGAUGCUGAAAAUUCAGCUUUGAUCACAAAAAUAAAUUACAUUUUAAAAUAUAUUCAAAUAGAAAACAGUUAUUUAAAAUUGUAAAAAUAUUACACAAUAUUACUGUUUUUGCUGUAUUUUGGAUCAAAUAAAUGAAGCCUUGGAAUGAAUAAUGAAUUACAUUCUGCAUGAUAAAAUAUAAAGAUUUCACAGUGAUCUUCUGUAAUUUUUUUUUAGUUACUACUACAUUACUGUAGUAAAACCAUGUUUUACUACAUUUUAUACAUGUGAGUACGAGCGGAGAGUAUACCAUAACAUGAUUAGCCUAAAUGUUAAUAAAUUAAGUGUAUCAGCAAUCAUAAAUCAAAGAAGAAAUUUCUUAUAUAUGUUAUCUAGGUGACGAGGAUCGCUCGUCGCUUUGUGUAAGUUCCAGUACGAAACAGCGCGGGGACGCACCUGUUGAUUUUCCGAUGGUAAAAACAAAUUAUAUGUUGUUGUAUUACUUAUCAAUAUAUAGUUUUUGACCAGCGAAUGUGUGGAAAUGUGAAUUUUGUUUUUUGGUCCGUCAUUAAAACGGCGACGGCGCCUCACAUUACAUUUUCAUCUACAGGUUACAAACUAGUUUUUGUAGUUAUAUAGACGGAGCGCUCAGUUUUUCCUGUGGUAAAAUGCAUUUGGCCAAAAUCGCAUUUUAUAAAAGAUGAAAUGCUACUGUAUGCACAGGCUAUUUAAGUGUUGGCUAUGUAUUGGCUAUAACUAGAUGGCAAAUGCUAGCCCUCUCUCUCAGGCGACGUCCCACGUCUCAGUCAGUGAGUCAGUCAGACAUCAAAUAAAUAAAAUAUGAGCCUUUAUAGACAUAGUGUUUAGUAGUACUUAUUCAAACAACAAGAUAUUUAUUUACCCUUCGCAAAACUUUGUUCAGCUCAGCUGUUGUCUACUGUGCGGCUGCUGUGGAACUUCAGUUGAUUCAAUGAAUAUAGAGGGGGCGGAGUUAUCAGCUUACUGACAGCUUGAGGAUCGAAUAAGAUUUACACAAGCUCGUUUUAAGAACUUUCAUUUGCUAAAUAUUUGUAAAAUAGACAGACAGACGUAAAGGGUGACCAAUAGCAUUGAUUAAAAAAAGAAAACACCACCAAAAAAAGGGCACUUCGGAGUGUAAGGGCAAAAAGGGCAUGUGCUCUGCACAGGUUGAGCCCUACCUGUGCACGUGCCUGCCCUGCUGAGCUCUCGGAGUCCUUAAUGAAAGCGCUCGCUCAGUCUCUCACGCGCUCGGCUGUCUGUGUGUUAGAAGCGCGUUGCAUAACUACUAGUGACGCCUGUGCCGUUUCUCACUGUUGCCAGGGACGGCGGGCAUCUGCCCUCCCGCUUCACAGUCACCGCGUCGUUCCUGGAGUCAUACAUCUGAGACCCCUCAAUGUAUUAACAAAGAAGUUCGUUUUCAAAGUAUACAGCUCGAAAUAAAACCAUGAUCAGAGGUAGGCUACUUUCUUUUAUAGCUUAACUUUAUUUUGCUUUAUUUAUUCAGUUGUGUUUUAUUUCAUAUUUAACAUUAUUUCGUUUUUUCUAAACUUUGAAGAAAUAGUACAGAUGCAAAUAGGACAAUUAAUAACUAAUGAGUAUAAAAUAAUAGGAUAGCCUAUAACACACACACACACACACACAUAUAUAUAGACUAUUACUGAGCUAUAAAGUUAUAAAUAAAUAUAAAAUAACUAUUGUAUAAUAGUUAUUUUAUUUUUUAAAUGGCAAUAGCCUAAUUAAAAAGUUUAGUGUGAGUAAGAUUCCUUUUUUUCUUUUUUUAUUAUUAAUACUUUUGUUCAGCAAGGACACAUUAGAUCAAAAUUUAAAGUACAGACAUAAUGUUGAAAAUACUUUUUCAAAUAAAUUUCAAAUAAAUUAUAUUUAUUAUUAUUAUUAUUAUUAUUAUUAUUAUUAUUAUUAUUAUUAUUAUUAUAUUCUAUUCAUCUUAGA
ensembl:lncRNA